rnacentral:rRNA from 1 species
AGCGAACGCUGGCGGCAGGCUUAACACAUGCAAGUCGAACGGUCCUUUGGGAUAGUGGCGGACGGGUGAGUAACACGUGGGAACGUACCCUUAGGUUCGGAACAACACAGGGAAACUUGUGCUAAUACCGGAUAAGCCCUUCGGGGGAAAGAUUUAUCGCCUUUGGAGCGGCCCGCGUCUGAUUAGCUUGUUGGUGAGGUAAUGGCUCACCAAGGCUACGAUCAGUAGCUGGUCUGAGUGGAUGGCCAGCCACACUGGGACUGAGACACGGCCCAGACUCCUACGGGAGGCAGCAGUGGGGAAUCUUGCGCAAUGGGCGAAAGCCUGACGCAGCCAUGCCGCGUGGAUGAUGAAGGUCUUAGGAUUGUAAAAUCCUUUCACCGGGGACGAUAAUGACGGUACCCGGAGAAGAAGCCCCGGCUAACUUCGUGCCAGCCGCCGCGGUAA